rnacentral:rRNA from 1 species
UGCGUAGGCGGUCGGGUAAGUCUGAUGUGAAAUCUCCGAGCUCAACUCGGAAAUGGCAUUGGAUACUAUUCGGCUAGAGAAUCGGAGGGGGGACUGGAAUACUUGGUGUAGCAGUGAAAUGCGUAGAUAUCAAGUGGAACACCAGUGGCGAAGGCGAGUCCCUGGACGAUUUCUGACGCUGAGGCAAUGAAAGGCUAGGGGAGCAAACA